GACGAACGCUGGCGGCGUGCUUAACACAUGCAAGUCGAACGAUGAAGCUAGAGCUUGCUCUGGUGGAUUAGUGGCGAACGGGUGAGUAACACGUGAGUAACCUGCCCCGAACUCUGGGAUAACUGCUGGAAACGGUAGCUAAUACCGGAUAUGACCAAUGAAGGCAUCUUCUGUUGGUGGAAAGAAUUUCGGUUCGGGAUGGACUCGCGGCCUAUCAGCUUGUUGGUGAGGUAACGGCUCACCAAGGCGACGACGGGUAGCCGGCCUGAGAGGGUGAUCGGCCACACUGGGACUGAGACACGGCCCAGACUCCGACGGGAGGCAGCAGUGGGGAAUAUUGCACAAUGGGCGCAAGCCUGAUGCAGCAACGCCGCGUGAGGGAUGACGGCCUUCGGGUUGUAAACCUCUUUUAGUAGGGAAGAAGCGAAAGUGACGGUACCUGCAGAAAAAGCACCGGCUAACUACGUGCCAGCAGCCGCGGUAA
rnacentral:rRNA from 1 species